GGCCGGUUAGCUCAGUUGGUUAGAGCUUGGUGCUGGUAGCCCCAAGAUUGCUGGUUCGAUCCCUGCAUGGGCCA